AUGGCUCAGGAUGAACGCUGGCGGCGUGCCUAACACAUGCAAGUCGAGCGGAGAUAGUUGAAGCCUAGCGAUGACUAUCUAGCGGCGGAUGGGUGAGUAACACGUGGGUAACCUGCCCUGUACUGGGGAAUAACAGCUGGAAACGGCUGUUAAUGCCGCAUAUGCGCACGGAGCCGCAUGGCCCUGGGCGGAAAGAUUUAUCGGUACAGGAUGGGCCCGCGCCGGAUUAACUAGUUGGCGGGGUAACGGCCCACCAAGGUGAUGAUCCGUAGCCGACCUGAGAGGGUGACCGGCCACAUUGGGACUGAGACACGGCCCAAACUCCUACGGGAGGCAGCAGUGGGGGAUAUUGCACAAUGGGGGAAACCCUGAUGCCAGCGACGCCGCGUGAAGGAUGACGUAUUUCGGUAUGUAAACUUCUAUCAGCGGGGAAGAAGAUGACGGUACCCGACUAAGAAGCCCCGGCUAACUACGUGCCAGCAGCUGC
rnacentral:rRNA from 1 species